ACGCUUGGUAUGGGAUUUUUGGCUUACCCUCUGGCACUGUGGUUACUGCUGGUGUUCCCUCUGGUAUUUGCUGUUCUCUCUGCCGCAGCACAGAUUCCUGCAACUCUGUCAUGGUUCGGGCAAUGAUCUCUGUGGGUGGGUUUUCACCAUAAAUUGCCAAAAUUGCAGCUCUCUCUGGAAUUCCGACUGUUCCAGUUUGUUUGCCGAACAGAUUCGAUUGGGAGCCAAACCGCUAUCCAUCCAAUAUUCUGCCAUUACUUUGGUAACAAGCACAGCCUUUUUCUUGUUACUUGCUGGGAUGCCUCUUAGGAGAUCCUUUAGCUAGGACCGUUUGAGAAUAAGAGUAGUCGAUCUCCAUCCACGGUCCAUUGGCACUGCUGACUCCUGGUGCUUGUUCCUUUGUGAGCUCAGGAUCCCGACGCUGCCAACCAAUGUAGUGGAGAGUUAGUGGUAGUAGGGCUUCUUCUCCGCUGGUUACUCCAACAGCUACUCAGGAACAAACAGGAUAAUUCACGAAAGCAGGCAUAAGCAUAAGAUAAUCCAUGAACAUCCCAUCACCUUUCCCAAUAACUGGACGACACUCCGUAUCAGGAGCAGAACUGAACCUUUAAUGGCCAGGCUGGCCUUUUAUGCAGGUUUUGCCCAAAAGGUUACCACCCAGGUGGAAGUUGUUGGGCACUGGUAAAAACAGAAAACAACCAAUACAGACAAAGUCAGGUAAUAAGUCACUCCCAUACAUUUCACACAAUUUCCCCUCUGCGCAGGAGAUAAUUGAGUUAAUUACUGUAUCAACUCAAUUAUCUCCAAACAGAAAAAUCUAAAUUUUCAUAUAUUUCUAGAAGUCCCCCAAAAACACAUCAUACCCUCACAAUUCUGACAUCCCCUGGUAGCCGCGAUCUGAAGGAGCAACAUACUGAAAAAUCACCCAGAUCGGUUCAGGGGUUCGACAGUUUUAUGGAGAUCUUAGUUUUACCGACCGCACACGAGGUGUAAGCCGAAAAUAGUUCCAUGUGUUUGGGCUGUGCGAAUGGUCUCUGUUCAGGAGUCUGAAAUACAUGAAAGUGCAUAAAAACAUGGUUUGUGCCUUGGUUCGUUCAAAUCCUCUCGUCCGUGUGAUUCCUAUCACUGAAUGCCGCUCUGUUCCCCUGAGUUUACACAAACUUACACGAAGAUGGAAGUCUCUGCGGUGUUCGUGCCGUUGAGUAUCUGAUUUGGGUUCCAGACACUCGAUGACCAAACACCACUGGAGUAAUUCGUAUUCAAAGAUGGCCGCCGCCACGUGUUCGUAUGACGAACGGCGGCCACCCAGGGGAUCACCAAGUCACUUUGUGUGUUUGCAAUUGAGACAGUGUGAACCAGGUUAGGGAGGUCAAUUGUCGCCACGCUCCUCUCAUGGGUGGCCUGGUUGUUCGAUAGUUCGUUUGUCGAACCCUAUAGUGAACAAUAGCUGAAAAGGGGUUUGUGGCGGGAUUGCCUAAACUGUGAAUUGCCUGGUUUCUUUUGUGUGUGGAUGUACCCUCCUAGAAUGUGUUUCCCCUCUUUCCUAUUCCUUUUUCUAUAAUUGUGACUAUAAAAUCCUGCACUACACCUUUUGACCGACCGGGGGUGCUCCGACAACCCCGGCACCCUCAGUUAGAACGUUUACUUAGAAUGUUCACACCACUAAUGAGG